AUAAUAUUUUAUAUUUCUUUUUGUUUGACAAUAGAGAUUGACUGGUGUGAACUAGUAACAUGUAUAAGUUAUACAUAUAUAUAUCCAAACGCUUAGUUGUAAUAGUAAAACUAGUUAUUGUUAUUAUGGAUUUAAAUACAUUAGUUAUAUAUGCACAUGAAAUCCUUAGGUGGUUUAAAGGCUUGGGUUCCGUUAUUUUUUAUACAAAAUUUUUGAGGUUUCAGUUCAUUAAAAGAACUUGCAGUAACUACAAAGUACAGUUUAUUGUCACAUAUACAUGGUUAUGAUGAUUAUGGAUCAUAUAGAGUUGAGUUAAUUUAUAUAGCAUGUACGGUAAUAAUAAUGUUUUGGACAUUUUAUUUUCUUGUAUGCAUGUCAAUUUGAUAAUAAGUGUUAUUCAUUUAUUUUAUAAUAUUAUGUAAUUAAACAUUGUUUGCAAGAGAAAAGAAAUAGUUUAUGCAAGCAACC
rnacentral:lncRNA from 1 species